AUUUGGUUUUGUUCAAAUGACCUCCUGUUGCUCCAGACGGUUUAGAGAUAUACUCAUUAUCUACAUUAUUUUAAAUGCUGGGUAAAGAGCACCGAAUCAGUACUUGCACAUGAAUAUUGUGUUUUCAGGUCAUAGAGAGUGGGUACUGGGCCAACCAGGAGCGAAAGGGAGGUAGCAGGCUGGACCAUGUCUCCAGGAACCAGAGGGGCCGAUGAUAAUACUCACAGGUCUCGAGGUCCUGAGGCAACAUAUAAAAUGACCAACUAGAGAGGACACAGAAAGCCAAAGAUGUCCAAGGAUCCCCAGAUAUUUCAGCCCUCAUUGUCUCAGGUUUAAGACGUCUCCAGCUCCCACAC
rnacentral:lncRNA from 1 species